rnacentral:rRNA from 1 species
CGGCGUCGAGCGGCGGACGGGUGAGUAAUGCCUAGGAAAUUGCCCUGGUGUGGGGGAUAACCAUUGGAAACGAUGGCUAAUACCGCAUAAUGCCUACGGGUCAAAGAGGGGGACCUUCGGGCCUCUCGCGUCAGGAUAUGCCUAGGUGGGAUUAGCUAGUUGGUGAGGUAAUGGCUCACCAAGGCGACGAUCCCUAGCUGGUCUGAGAGGAUGAUCAGCCACACUGGAACUGAGACACGGUCCAGACUCCUACGGGAGGCAGCAGUGGGGAAUAUUGCACAAUGGGCGCAAGCCUGAUGCAGCCAUGCCGCGUGUGUGAAGAAGGCCUUCGGGUUGUAAAGCACUUUCAGUCGUGAGGAAGGUAGUGUAGUUAAUAGCUGCAUUAUUUGACGUUAGCGACAGAAGAAGCACCGGCUAACUCCGUGCCAGCAGCCGCGGUAAUACGGAGGGUGCGAGCGUUAAUCGGAAUUACUGGGCGUAAAGCGCAUGCAGGUGGUUUGUUAAGUCAGAUGUGAAAGCCCGGGGCUCAACCUCGGAAUAGCAUUUGAAACUGGCAGACUAGAGUACUGUAGAGGGGGGUAGAAUUUCAGGUGUAGCGGUGAAAUGCGUAGAGAUCUGAAGGAAUACCGGUGGCGAAGGCGGCCCCCUGGACAGAUACUGACACUCAGAUGCGAAAGCGUGGGGAGCAAACAGGAUUAGAUACCCUGGUAGUCCACGCCGUAAACGAUGUCUACUUGGAGGUUGUGGCCUUGAGCCGUGGCUUUCGGAGCUAACGCGUUAAGUAGACCGCCUGGGGGAGUACGGUCGCAAGAUUAAAACUCAAAUGAAUUGACGGGGGCCCGCACAAGCGGUGGAGCAUGUGGUUUAAUUCGAUGCAACGCGAAGAACCUUACCUACUCUUGACAUCCAGAGAACUUUCCAGAGAUGGAUUGGUGCCUUCGGGAACUCUGAGACAGGUGCUGCAUGGCUGUCGUCAGCUGCUGUUGUGAAAUGUUGGGUUAAUUCCC